rnacentral:lncRNA from 1 species
GUUUGACAUGUCGUCAUUUCUCUCUUGUGCAUCUAGGAGUACAGUUAUUAUGCCAUGCACUGCAUGAUUACCAUUCUGAGAAGGUCGAGGUUGCUUGCCAGCCUACCCAUACCACUUUGCAGAUCUAACAGCCAUGUGUAGGGGUUCAGCAUCCUUCAGCAUCCUGCCAAUACUUUCUCCUUCAUGUUCCUUAUAGCUAUUCUUCCACAUAGACAUGGUGCCUUGCUGUGGUUUGACUUGACUUUCUCUCAUGGCUCACUUUGCCGACCACCAUUUUGGUAUUUAUAUAUCUAUAUUCUGUGAAGAAAUGUACAUUAUAGCCACAACAGACUUUCUAGUUAUUGUCUUUUUAUUACUAAGCAGUGCGAAUAUCUUAUUCUCUAUUUUAAAUGUAAAUCCUUUUUCUCCUCGUCUGUGGGUUGCCUUUUAUUUUCUCAACAGCUUUCUAGCCAGACUAGAUGACACAUGCUGUCCUCUCAGCCACCUGGGAAGUUGAGGUAGGAGAAAUUUCAAGUUCAAGGCCAGGAUAGACUACAAGGGGAUGUCAAAGCCAACCUUAGCCCUCUCAUGAGAUCCCAUCUCAAGGCUGGCCAAAAUGGUGAAGGGCUAUCUCCCUACCCUAAGUCAUCAAAUCGUGAACCAUAACCAGCAGCAGCAAACUCUUCGCAGAAACAUCCGACCCAGUGAAUGGAAGAACAAGGAUUAUAAUCUAGCCAAACAGCUGCUCUUCCAGCAAGUUUUCUGGUCUAUAACCUUGGGAUGUCCUUCCACUCAUGAAAGUCCUCGUCAGUAUCUUUCAACCGGGCUUUGUAUUAUUCUGAAUGUAGUUUUAUACUUAGUAAAAUUUAAGUCUUGUGCUUUUUUGAUAGAGUCCUAAGAGUGCAUUCUUUGGGUUGUAUUGUAAACGGGGAUGCGGGGUAAGUGCGACCUCAGUUGGUUCUUCGUGUAGAAGAAGUGUAGAAAUAGAAUUGAGGGUUUUUUUUUUUUCAGCUUGCUCUGGUAUCAAUUCUGUUAGCUCAUUAGUCACUUCAUAGGAUUCACGACAUACCGUGUUCUUCUUGAAAUAGUGUUACAUCAGCGAUUUUUUGAAGAAAAUUAAAUGUGACCCAAAUUGCCGUGUCUUUUCUCUUAAAAGUUGACAGCUUAUUAUUUUCACAGACUGGAAUAAAACAUGCUUUGUUGAUAGUUUCAUUAUGUUUUAAAGGGAAAAUCACAGAGUAGUAAAAUUUAAGAAGCUCACAUACCUGAACUUAUAGUAUAUACACUACUAAUUAACUUUUGCUAAUUACUGAACAUCCAUUCCUACCUUUUCCUCUUUGAGAAGUUGUAGUUAGUCUGAAAAAAAAUUAGCCACUAUUUCCAGACUAUUCCUCCAGAGGAAAAGGACAUUACACUUGACAGUAACCUCCCAGAACACUAGAUGCCAGAAAUCAUAGGUGAGAGAGCUAUUGGAGACAAGUCUCAG